AAACCAACUGACAACUCUGCCAACAUUGAAUUAGUAGGAAUCCAGGAAUCUUACAUGACCUCCUAUCCCCAGGAGCUCUGCUGGAAGAACUGUUGGGAAUUUCUUCUUCAAGUAAUCUCUCAGUGAUAUAAUCAUGGCAUAUCAUUCCAUUAAGUAAAGAAUAUCAAGUUGAAGUUCCUCUGAACCUGGAUUUCUUCUCAUGAAAAAAACAAAGGCUCUGACUGUUUUCCAUAUUUAAAAGGACAAUCAUUAGGCAAGUUCAAGAAUGUUGAUAGAUUGAGAGGUUUGGAGAUCAGAAUUGCUGAAAAAUAUACUGUUAACCACAAGUAAAUGGCUUCCCAGAAUGAAUCUUUUCUUUUAUUGUCUACUGAGCAAUUGUUCUUCAAAUUAUACAAUAACUAAAUCAAUUCAAAUUAUACAA